UCAGCUGGUUAGAGCUUGGGUCUAAUAAACCCAAGGUCGUGAGUUCGAUCCUCACCG
rnacentral:tRNA from 16 species